rnacentral:piRNA from 1 species
UAGGCUAAGCUAUGCUGUUUGGUACGCUA